rnacentral:rRNA from 1 species
UACAGAGGGUGCGAGCGUUAAUCGGAAUUACUGGGCGUAAAGCGCACGUAGGUGGCGACGUAAGUCGGGUGUGAAAGCCCCGGGCUCAACCUGGGAAUUGCAUUCGAGACUGCAUUGCUGGAGUACGGAAGAGGAGGGCGGAAUUCCCGGUGUAGCGGUGAAAUGCGUAGAUAUCGGGAGGAACAUCAGUGGCGAAGGCGGCCCUCUGGACCAGCACUGACGCUGAGGCACGAAAGCGUGGGGAGCAAACAGG